rnacentral:rRNA from 1 species
GAUUUCUGGCUUGAAACAUUUUGCCGGCCACGGUUUCGUGUGUUAGUGCUUGAUGUUCUGGCCAUCCUUCCAAUCGCCCAGGCCCGCUCUUCAUUGAGUGGGCCGAGGUAUUGGAUCUUUUACUUUGAAAAAAUUAGAGUGUUUCAAGCAGGCUUUAUGCUAUGAAUACAUUAGCAUGGAAUAAUAAUUUAGGACUUCGGUUCUAUUUUGUUGGUUUCUAGGACUGAAGUAAUGAUUGAUAGGGACAGUUGGGGGUGCUAGUAUUCAGCGGCCAGAGGUGAAAUUCUUGGAUUCGCUGAAGACUAACUUAUGCGAAAGCAUU